UACGUAGGGUCCGAGCGUUGUCCGGAAUUAUUGGGCGUAAAGAGCUCGUAGGCGGUCUGUCGCGUCGGCUGUGAAAACACGGGGCUCAACUCCGUGCCUGCAGUCGAUACGGGCAGACUAGAGUUCGGUAGGGGAGACUGGAAUUCCUGGUGUAGCGGUGAAAUGCGCAGAUAUCAGGAGGAAUACCGAUGGCGAAGGCAGGUCUCUGG
rnacentral:rRNA from 1 species